GACAAUGUCUUCGCAAAUAUAAAUUCUGUCAGCAUUUCCACCAUAGACAGAGUUUUGAAAAUACAUCAAAUGACUAUGAAACAACUCUACAAGGUGCCAUUUGAGAGGAAUAGUGAAAGAGUGAAGGAGCUCCGGUACCAGUAUGUCCAGGACUCUCUGGACACACUG